rnacentral:snoRNA from 1 species
AAGCAGGACCUAGUGACACUGUAGCUGUGAAGCUCUGCAUUGUCAUUGUUCCCUGCUCAAAGGAAAACAGUGGCCUCACAGGGCCUGUCUGAGUGUGAACUAGCAGCAGGGCUGCUUGGUCUUAGGCAU